AUUUUUACCCGAAGAUUUAUUAGAACACAAUUAGUUAGUUUUGUAAUUACUGGUUAUAGUGUUAGACGCAAGUUAGUUUCAUAUUUACUUAAAAUACAAAAAUGUAUCCAAUCAAAAUAUUAUAAUGUUUUAAAUUAAAAAUAAUAAUUAACAAGUUAAUUUUUAUUAUUUUCUGAGUAUAACUAUAUUAAUAAUUUUAACAAUAUAUGUAUAUAUAUAUAUUUGGUAUUACGAUUAAAAUUAAUUUGAUUUAUCAUUUGUUGAAGUGUUCAAUAAAACAUAAUUUAAAAUAGCAAAAUGAUGGAGAUGGACUUUAAGCGAUUUUGAGCAUUGUUUUCUCUUUAAAAAAGAAAUACCUAUCUUUGAUAUUAUAAAGUCUGAGUCAAUAAGUCCGCCGCCGUCGUAAUACGGUCGUAUUUUGUACACGCCACGGUGAAACGUGUGUGUGGGAGGGUUUGUCAUUCGGGAAAUUUAAAGCACCCACGCUGGCUGUCGUGGAAACGAUUGCCGAUUGGUAUACACGGUAAGUAUAUUAUUAUAUUGUAAUUAAAAGUUAUAUUUAAUACAGGUUAGGUGAUAGGUACGUGUCAGUACUUGUCGACUUGGAUGAUGUAAGGGAUAUUUUGAUUGAAUCGACUAAAUGAGUUUUCAUAAUAUAAAAUAAUAUAUUGCAGUAUUAAUAGUAUUAUUAUCAUCAUUGUAUUAUUUGAUGUCAUUAUUAUGAAACUCACUUAACUCCAGUUCUGUUUUUUAUUUUCUCGCUCAAUUACGCGCAUGUAUCCCAUCGAAUUUUAAAGUACAUAAAAAAAACGACGAUUGCAUAACACUCCAAACACUAGGUGGAACAGUGUUAAAGUGUAUAAAAAAUAAUGGGAAUUCGAUAACAGGAAAAUAAUAUUUGAGUUUAAAUUUUACGAAUUAUUUUAUAUUAUUUAUUUUAGUAAUAUGAUUACUAUAUAGUAUUUUUGGUACAUACGCAUUUAACUUUAUACACAUUUUUCACGUAUAUUAGGGUUAGACAGUGAAUAAUAUUUGUCAUAAACGGCAUACAACAAUUCUUAACAAAAGGUAUAUUAUACUUCUUUCACUAUAAUGUCCAAACGUGGUGUUUUUUUUUUUUUUUAGGGACACGAGUGUUCAAACGCAAUGUGGAUUUUGAACACAGAACAGUACAUAGUAUGGACCAUCAGGUUUUGGUUGGCAUUCGACGACUGUGCGUUGCGGUAAACGGAUAUUUCGCCUGCCGUUUUCGUGAACACGAUUCACAUGAGUAGGUCACUGGCAUGACGUAUUUAAUGACAUAUGUAUGUCUUUAUUAUUUUUACCGUAUUAAUGGACGGUCAGCGAAAUGCAAAAAAAAACCACUGUAACUGCCCUGACUCGUCUCACUAUUGGUACACUUUAUUUUUCAUUAUUUUUAUUCCUCCGCAUCAUGCACGUAACUCUUUUGAUUGAUAAUCCACGACGACGACGACGACGACCUUUGGGCUUUGACCGCUACUAUAUCGGCGAGACGAUGACGACUUGUCCUCCUAUUUUUUUUUUACGUUUCACUUUUAUUGUACUAUUAUAUUAUUAUUAUUAUCAGUUUAUACUGUACAUCAGUGCCGCCUCUUUUACGUUACGCCGAAUGUUUGUAAUUUAUUACGUUUCAGUGUCGGCGUUCGCGGAACACAAGUUUCACCGAAAUGAUUAUAAUAAUAUGGAUAUUACAGUAAACGAUCGUUUCUGUUGAACAUACCGAUUAAUAUGUAUUUUUGUUUCAAUAAGAGCCAAGAGGAAUAUUGAUCACGUACCGAGCAGCUGCUAAUUCAUUCGGACCAGACGCGAGUCGAAGACAUAUUUUUCGAUUUCAUCGGUUCUCGUCAAACAGGUAGAGAACCUACGUCAUGCGCACGAGGCUUGAAAUCGCCAAUACGAUGCCCAUAUCAUGUCGUCGAAAUCCGCAUUAUAAAUCACGCACAUUCACACAUCUUACACCGGUUCAAUGUAAUAUACGUACAUUACAUAUACGCAAAUAUAUUAUACAUUAUACACAUUACGCGUAUAUUAUGUACACAUAAUAAUGUAGGCAUACAGACACAUAUUAUUAUACUACACGCAAUUCAUAAUAUUAUAAUAAUAUAUUAAAGCGUUUCAAAACAC